rnacentral:lncRNA from 1 species
AGUAGUGCGCUUUCUCGCGGCUGUCAUAAGUACCACGCUGUUGACUGGGACACCGAUCUCCAAUUCUGUCCUUGAGGCAAUAAAGAUGUGGCGAAGGCCCGAGGUGAGGCCACUGCCACUGCACUUAGUCCUGCGACUCCCCUAAGGACGGGCCGAGGAAUGGCGGGCUAGCCACUUCCCAGUCCUGUCCCUACGGGGCAGAAAAAGGCUCGGCAUCCCGGGAUCCGGAGGGUCACUUCCCUCGCUGCAUCCCCAUUGUGCAACUGCCAGUCUAAAAAUUGAUAUAGGUCUAUAGUCUUUACUCUGCAAUUCCAAAACAGGACAAAAAACAAAACACUGUGAAACCCAAAGUGUUUUUGUAAGUUUGGCACCAGGAUUAUAUGCCAAAGAAAACCUACUGUGAACAAAUAUGAAGCCUCUAUUGUCUCAGCACUUGUAUCCGUAAGUCACACAUGCCUCUGCUAUUUGCUGAUAUUUUCUGACUUGGGGAUUAAUUCCAUGGAAAAUGUCGAAAAGGGCUAAAGAUAUACCUAUGGGUAACAGUGAGAAGAAGAAAAGGAAGCAUCUGUCUUUAUCAAUAUCUCAGAAAGUGGAGUUAUUGCAGAAACUUGAUGGUGGUAUGUCUGUGAGGUGUCUUACUGAAGAAUAUGGUAUGGGAACCACCACGAUAUAUGACUUAAAGAAACAGACAAGUUGUUGAAAUUUUAUAGUGACAGCAAUAACCAGGAACGAAUGAAAAAUAGAAAAACAUUGCAUAGAGCCAAAAAUGAAGACCUUGACCCUGUGUUGAUUGAAUGGGUUCGACAACAAAGAAGUAAAGAUACACCACUGACUGGUUUGUUGGUCGUGAAACAAGCUAGAAUAUACCAUGAAGAACUGAACUUUGAAGGAGAGUGUGAAUAUUCAGGAGGCUGGCUGCAGAAAUUUAAAAAGUGUCUUGGAAUCAAGUAUCUUCAAAUCUGUGGUGAAAAGGCUUCUCCUGAUGAUGAAGCUACUGAAAAUUACAUUGAUGAAUUUGCUAAGGUAAUAUCUGAUGAAAAUCUUAGCCCUGAACAAAUUUACAGUGCUGAUGAAACAGCUUUGUACUGGUGCUAUGUUCCUAGAAAAACUUUAACAAUGGCUAACAAAAGAGCAACAACAGAUGU